UUCGUGCUCACAUGUCAUUCUUCUAAAAUUUGCAUAGGUUGUUCCUCGUUGGUGCUACGGAAGGCAUGACGGAUGGGCGAGUUUGGUGGAUAGGUGGCUCGGCGACGAUGCAGAGUUUGCUGCCAAGAGCAUCAAGGCCCGGGCUAACCGUGGAAAAGACGGGACACACGGCCAAGGAAACAGGAACCACUGGGGCUUCAAGGCCAUGAAGGAGGACAAGUUGAAGAGGCCGCUCUCAGACAUUGAGUCGUGGAAGCUGGCCCGCGAGCGGAGUGAUCGCAAGGAGGGCGAGAGCCAGUACUACGGCAAGACCGAGGAGCACCUGGAGUCUUACACUCA